rnacentral:rRNA from 1 species
UACGAAGGGGGCGAGCGUUGUUCGGAAUUACUGGGCGUAGAGGGCGCGCAGGCGGCUCUGAAAGUCAGAUGUGAAAGCCCCGGGCUUAACCUGGGAAUUGCAUUUGAUACUCUGGAGCUUGAGUACGGGAGAGGAGAGUGGAAUUCCCAGUGUAGAGGUGAAAUUCGUAGAUAUUGGGAAGAACACCGGUGGCGAAGGCGGCUCUCUGGACCGUAACUGACGCUGAGGCGCGAAAGCGUGGGGAGCAAACAGG